CUUUCGGGCUGAGUAGAGCGGCGGACGGGUGAGUAACGCGUAGGAAUCUACCUGGUAGUGGGGGACAACUUGGGGAAACUCAAGCUAAUACCGCAUACGCCCUAAGGGGGAAAGCGGGGGACCUUCGGGCCUCGCGCUAUCGGAUGAGCCUGCGUAGGAUUAGCUAGUUGGUGGGGUAAAGGCCCACCAAGGCGACGAUCCUUAGCUGGUCUGAGAGGAUGAUCAGCCACACUGGAACUGAGACACGGUCCAGACUCCUACGGGAGGCAGCAGUGGGGAAUAUUGCGCAGUGGGCGAAAGCCUGACGCAGCCAUGCCGCGUGUGUGAAGAAGGCCUUAGGGUUGUAAAGCACUUUCAAUUGGGAAGAAAAGUUUGUCGUUAAUAGCGCCAAGCUCUGACAUUACCUUUAGAAGAAGCACCGGCUAACUCCGUGCCAGCAGCCGCGGUAAUACGGAGGGUGCGAGCGUUAAUCGGAAUUACUGGGCGUAAAGCGCGCGUAGGCGGUUUGUUAAGUCAGCUGUGAAAGCCCCGGGCUCAACCUG
rnacentral:rRNA from 1 species